UCAGCAGGUCUGUGCAGUGAAAGAUGACGAAGGCUCUGAUCCCCUCCCCAAACGAUUAACAGCUACUAGUUUCCCCCUUUUCCCUAGAAAAACGUGCAUGUGCUUGUGCUCAGCUGCUCAGUCAUUUCCAACUCUGUGAGACCCCAUGGACUGCAGCCCACGAGGCUCCUCUGUCCAUGGGGUUUUUCAGGCAAGAAUACUGGAGUGGAUUGCCAUUUUUCUCCUUCAGGCAAUCUUCCCUGAGAUCAAACUCCUAUCUCUUGAGUUUCCUGCAUUGGCAGGCAGAUUCUUUACCACUAGAGCCACCUGCAUGGCCAAACAGAAUCUUUGGAAUAGAUUUUUGGACACUGCUGGCUUCCUGUAUAAAUCAACCUUUCCUUUCAAUCAACGCUUGCCUCUCGAGUACUGGUUUUAGAGUACUAAGCAGCCGAACCUGAGUUUGGUAACAACCUCAGCCAAUGAGCUCUGGUCCGCAGCUAAAUGGUGACAACUCAGCACCGGGAGGCCCCUGUACGAGAGAUAAUACAAUCCUGUUCAUUUGGAAAGGAUUACAGAACAGAAGCCUUUAAUUUUGCAGGUACGAAAACUGAGGUGCAAAAGGAUUAACUGACUGCAUUGAGAGCCUCAGUGCCCUUUGGAAACAUGACAGGGAGCAGAAAAUGAAACAAAAUAUGGUUAACGGCCAGAGCUAGACUUGAUCCCACUCCACUGCUCUUACUCCAAGUAUAUUACCCCAAUAAGGAAGUAAACAAACAAACCAAAAGCUGGACACAACCACAAAGAAAGAAAAGAAAUAGAAGAAAUUGAAAGGAGAUAUCCACUUCGCUAUAUCUUUCAGCAUCACCCUCCCGCUGACUCACUUGGGGGGAUAGCAUUGCUGCUGCUGCUGCUAAGUCGCUUCAGUCGUGUCCGACUCUGUGUGAGCCCAUAGACGGCAGCCCAUCAGGCUCCGCCGUCCCUCGGAUUCUCAAGGCAAGAACACUGGAGUGGGUUGCCGUUGCCGUUGCCUUCUCCGGGGGACAGCAUUAGGCACCGUCAAAUGACAGCAGUGGAGGCCUUUCUGAGCACCAGCUCACCCCUUCCAACUUUCAACUCCUAUUUUGAAGAAUUCUUCCUUCAAAAGUUGUGAACAUCCACAUUGUUCUAAGAUGAGUAACACAUUGCAAAAUAAUAAUUCAAGGUGUACAGUGGGGAGACAUCCACUCAUGACUUGAUCCAGCAA